UUCACGAGUUGCAUCUCCUAACUCCGUAGAUCUGAAGUCAAACUUCGGUCUUCGUCAAACUCCGGCGAGCUUUUCCGGCGAAACCAUGGACUUCCGGCGAAAACCGACACCACCAUGAAGUUCCUCUCUUCGAGCUCUACGCCGUGGUGUGGUGGAUUGCAUGAAUCCGAUGUCGGCUCUGUCGUCUUCCCCAACUCCGGCGAGCUUUUCGUCCGCCAUUGUUCAUCUCUGGCCGAAACUUUCCCAUGGCUCCUGCUCGCUGCGCUGCAGCCUGUGCGCCGCCGGAGCCGCCGGCCGGGCCACCCUGCUCGCGCCGUCACCCACCGCUCGCGCGAGCCACCUCGGCCCCAGCCGUCGCCGCCGGCAGAACCGGCCUGGAUCACGGCGGUCGGCCAGGAGCUGCGCCAUGCUCCUGGCGUGAGGAAGAAGAUGAAGCGCUGCUUUUCGAUCUAGCCCCUGGAGAAUCUGUUAAUUUUUGUUCAUAUUUCUUGUGUCUUUCAAACCUUGUAGAAAACCCCCUGUAACUUUCAGUUCCUUGCAAUAUGAUCCAAGCCAUCCUCUUUUGCAGAUCUAA